AGGUGUAGAAUUCUCUGAAUCGCUCCAGUACCAUGCCUGCCUGUACGUUACCAUGCUUCCCACCAUGACAAUAAAGGACUGAACCUCUGAACCUGUAAGCCAACAGCAAUUAAAUGUUUUUUUUGAGAAGAGUUGCCUUGGUUAUCAUGUUUCUUCACAGCGAUGGAAACCCUAACCAAGAUAGUUUUCCCUGAAAAAUAGUAUUUACAAGGCACAGAAAAGUCACAGGGAACACAGAGAUACACCAGUGCCCUGAAUACGCCACUGCCCGAAGUGUCUCAGGAACUGAAAGGCCCCAGUAGCCACGGACUCUAAUCUGAAGAGCACAUGAUGCCCGCUUCUCAAGGAUUCUAGACCAGGCCAACUCCAUGAUUUCCUGCAAAGCUCCAGUCCGAUUGCCGAUUGCCGAUUACCGAUUGCGGGUAAGAACGACUGCAGGGCAUUUUCUUCAUUGACAAUUGCUGUACAAAGGCCCAGCCCCCUGUGAGCAAUGGCGCCCCUGGAAAUUGGGUCCUGAGGUGUGUAAGAAAGCAGGCUGACCAAGCCAGUGAAGAGCUUUCCUCUACGGUAUCAAAGGGCACCAGAGUCUUGGCUCACAAACUGAUUUAGGUUCUACAGAAACCAACUUUGUUUGAAACAAGAAGAAAAGGAAUGUUUUUGGAAGAGUAGAGAGUUUGCUCACUAAUGCAAAUCUGAAUUGGAAAGAAGCAGGACAAAGGAACGGAGGAUGCAGGGAACCCAGCCACAGUCAAACCGCAGGGCAUCUAGCAUCAGGAGCCCUGCGCUCUGCAACACCAAGGUGUCCCUACCACAGCAGCAGACUCUGGUCACUUUCCUGCAGGAUUUGAGUCUCAAAGCCAGAUUGGUGGGGCAUUUUCCAGCCCCUCAGAGACCCACCCUUGGAGUCUGGCGGCAGACCUGGAGCACUCCCUACCUUCAGGCGUCUGAAGAGAGCAGGCAGAAGUGAGGGCCUUCCAUCCAUCUCUGGAACACUUUUUCUGGCCUCUAGUAGGAUUCCGUCUUUCCUCGGUGGUAAAGAAGACCUGUAACAGUUACUAACAAGCAUCUCAAAUGGGAUGGUGAGUAAACAAGGGAAUCUUGAGAAUAGA
rnacentral:lncRNA from 1 species